AGCGCUUCGAGCGUGUAAACUUCUUUUGAGCGGGAAGAUAAUGACGGUACCGUUCGAAUAAGCCCCGGCUAACUACGUGCCAGCAGCCGCGGUAACACGUAGGGGGCAAGCGUUGUCCGGAAUGAUUGGGCGUAAAGAGCGCGCAGGCGGCGUUUCAAGUCACGCGUGAAAGACCACGGCUCAACCGUGGGGUGUCGUGUGAUACUGGGAUGCUUGAGGGCAGGAGAGGGGCGUGGAAUUCCCGGUGUAGUGGUGAAAUGCGUAGAUAUCGGGAGGAACACCAGUGGCGAAGGCGGCGCCCUGGCCUGUCACUGACGCUGAGGCGCGAAGGCUGGGGGAGCGAACGGGAUUAGAUACCCCGGUAGUCCCAGCAGUAAACGAUGGACACUAGGUGUCGGUGGUGUUGACCCCACCGGUGCCCGAGCUAACGCAUUAAGUGUCCCGCCUGGGGAGUACGGCCGCAAGGCUAAAACUCA
rnacentral:rRNA from 1 species